GAUGAACGCUGGCGGCGUGCCUAAUACAUGCAAGUCGAGCGAACAGACGAGGAGCUUGCUCCUCUGACGUUAGCGGCGGACGGGUGAGUAACACGUGGAUAACCUACCUAUAAGACUGGGAUAACUUCGGGAAACCGGAGUUAAUACCGGAUAAUAUAUUGAACCGCAUGGUUCAAUAGUGAAAGACGGUUUUGCUGUCACUUAUAGAUGGAUCCGCGCCGCAUUAGCUAGUUGGUAAGGUAACGGCUUACCAAGGCAACGAUGCGUAGCCGACCUGAGAGGGUGAUCGGCCACACUGGAACUGAGACACGGUCCAGACUCCUACGGGAGGCAGCAGUAGGGAAUCUUCCGCAAUGGGCGAAAGCCUGACGGAGCAACGCCGCGUGAGCGAUGAAGGUCUUCGGAUCGUAAAACUCUGUUAUUAGGGAAGAACAAAUGUGUAAGUAACUAUGCACGUCUUGACGGUACCUAAUCAGAAAGCCACGGCUAACUACGUG
rnacentral:rRNA from 1 species